rnacentral:rRNA from 1 species
GACGAACGCUGGCGGCGUGCCUAAUACAUGCAAGUCGAGCGAAUCGAUGGGAGCUUGCUCCCUGAGGUUAGCGGCGGACGGGUGAGUAACACGUGGGUAACCUGCCUGUAAGACUGGGAUAACUCCGGGAAACCGGGGCUAAUACCGGAUAACAUCUAGAAUCGCAUGAUUCUAGAUUAAAAGAUGGUUUCGGCUAUCACUUACAGAUGGACCCGCGGCGCAUUAGCUAGUUGGUGAGGUAACGGCUCACCAAGGCAACGAUGCGUAGCCGACCUGAGAGGGUGAUCGGCCACACUGGGACUGAGACACGGCCCAGACUCCUACGGGAGGCAGCAGUAGGGAAUCUUCGGCAAUGGACGAAAGUCUGACCGAGCAACGCCGCGUGAGUGAAGAAGGUUUUCGGAUCGUAAAACUCUGUUGUUAAGGAAGAACAAGUACGAGAGUAACUGCUCGUACCUUGACGGUACUUAACCAGAAAGCCACGGCUAACUACGUGCCAGCCGCCGCAGUAACAC